GCAUAUUGCAAGAACAAAAGAAAAUAGAGUUGUAUGAAAAUCUUGAAAGAAAAAUGGCAACGCUCAUUUGUCAAUCUCUUCUAUUGGGACUUUUAUGCAUUGCGUUGGUUCUGGCUUCAGCAGAAGAACCGCCAUAUUUGAAGAAUCCUCGUACGGAACUUUUAUGCUUUAGGACUGAGAGAUGCCCAAGUUGUAACGAUUUGUGCAAGCUUAAGGGAUAUUCUAAUGGAGUUUGUUAUGGAACGAUUUGUUGUUGUCGUUCUUAAAGACAUGUCAUAGAUAAUAUGCAAUUAAGACCAACAAAGUACUACUUCAAAGAUUACUUCAAAGAGCCUGAAUCUAUGAGAAGCUAAAAUAAAAAUGAAAUUAUGGAAGUAAAAAGUGUUAUUAAAAGUUGUUUUAGUUAAAAUAAUAUGUACCCAAGUCAAAAAUUACUAUAUUCAACAAUCAUCAAUCUAUGAGCAAUAUAUUAACAA